UACGUAGGGUGCGAGCGUUAAUCGGAAUUACUGGGCGUAAAGCGUGCGCAGGCGGCGCGUUAAGACAGGUGUGAAAGCCCCGAGCUUAACUUGGGAAUUGCGCUUGUGACUGGCGUGCUGGAGUGUGGCAGAGGGAGGUGGAAUUCCACGUGUAGCAGUGAAAUGCGUAGAUAUCUGGAGGAACACCGGUGGCGAAGGCGGCAUCCUGGACCGGCAUUGACGCUGAGGCGCGAAAGCCAGGGGAGCAAACGGG
rnacentral:rRNA from 1 species